rnacentral:lncRNA from 1 species
AUGGGAGUCACCUCUGCCCAAGUCGAGCACCUAGCAAGAGGCGAUCCUGCUCAGGAGGGCUUUUCGCCUCCUCCAGCAGCACGGCAGCAGGAUGCCCCACAGCAGAUGGGCCGAGAAGCGCCCUCCCUCCCCUUCCCCGGGGGCAGGCUCCCUGCAGGCCAGCCUUUCCCCAGGGAAAAGCUCCCAGUGCCUCUCGCCAGCAGCGGGGAGCCUCGUGCAGCCCCCCCGCUUGUGUGCCUUUGCAGUGGGGCAGCAGUAACGGCAGACGCAGAGGUCAUGCUGCAUCUCUGCGGGCAGCCGCAGAAGGCACCUCGGCAGCUCUGCACCCGCCGCAGGGCGCCGCCGCGGCACGUCGGCACGGCCGGGACCCCCGCGGACGCCCCUAUGGGCGGGAAAGGCGUUAGCCGAGUGGCGGCCUCCCGCGGCGGCACCGCAGAGGCAUCCCGGGAGACGGGCUCCCACCGGAGCUGCUGCGCUGGCAGCCGUUCGGUGCCUGCGCCGGGCUCCCUGCGGGGUGUGCGCCCGCCCCCGGAGAGCGCGCAGAGCCAAGGCUCGCACGGUGGGAGCGGUGUGCGGGCCUUCAUCCCUGCUUGGCGCUCGUGCAGCACCGCUGCCUUCCCGCCCGGCACCCCGGCGCGGCCGCCGCGGCUCUCCCGCACUGGCAGGGUCGUGCCCCGGCCCUGUGGCGGGUGCCCAGCCAGCCCCGGCAGCCUGCGCGGCCUCGGUGCCAGUGGUGCACAGAGAGGGGGCCCGGCCCUGCGGGACCCCUUUGCCCUCCUCUUCCUCGCGCCCUCUGCACCCUCAGGGUCAGCCCAGACCCGCUGCCCGGCCGGGGGCUGGCGGCGAGGCGGUGCAUGGCCGGCAGCGCUGGGGCCGCUGCCCCGUGCCCUCCGCAGCUCACCUCUCCCUGCCCUGGGGAGGCGGGAGGGGGGUGCCGGGCUGCGAGGGAAGGGGCUGAAGGCCGCGGCGGGAGAGGAGGGAGGCGGCGGGAGCGGGAGCGGACGGGUUAACCUGGCCGGCGUAGGUGCACGCAUUCCUCUCCGGCGACGGCAGGCAGGAGCCCCAGCGUCAGGUUACGGCGCCCGCUCCUCCCCACCCUGCCCCUUCCCAAGCCCCUUCCCGACCCGCCGUGGCCUCUGGCGCCCAGCGAGGGAUAAUUGA